GGGUGUAAAUUUUCUUCUCUGAAGAUUCUGCUUGUUGCCAACUACACACCUCCUUCCAUCCUCAGAAUGAUUUGGCAAGAGGGUCCUGUUACUGGUGCAUGGGUUGCCGAGAGAGCAAAGUCUUUAGCUGUUUCAGAGGAGAGGAGUAGAAAUAAAUUCGUGGGAAAAGGACCUGAGUUUGCCUCCAUAACAACUUUGAGAGAUUCUAGUGAUACUGCUUCUGAAAUACGUCAAGAGAUACUAACGAGCUCCAGUUUCCUUAUGCAUUUGCAUUUAUCCUCUGCUGUAGUUACUCUUCGGAGCUAAGGAUAUGAAGUCUUCAAGUGUCUUUUGAGUCAAGUGAUGAAAGGAUUUACUAGAGUGGCUUUUGAGGAUGCCGAUUCUUUGAAAAAAUUUCUGUAGGCCAGACAUCAGUAUAAAUGGAGUGUGAUCGACUGUUAUUCACCCUGAUAAGAUUGACACCAUCAAAAGCUCGAUACAGAAUGAACUUCCUGGGUCAUGGUUUCGGCUCAUAUUUGAGAAUUAAAAAGUUUGAAUUAUUGAAUGUCUCGGAUAUUGACGGUAUUAAUGGUGCCAAUUUUUUUGGGUUGGCUCAUGAGGAAGCCAAUUUGUGGGGUUCAAUCACUGGCGUACUAGAUGAAGAGUUUCUUUUGAUCUCAUGUUGCAAUUCAACAAUGAAACGGGGUGAUGGGGGAGGUUCCAAUGCUCUAUGUACUGGAUUAGCUGGUUCUGACUUUGUCCACAUGUGGGAUCCAGUGAAUUUCCAUGGAUUUUUGUCCAUCGCUGUUAAAUGUGGCACUUUUGUUGCCAUAGGUGGUCGAUUGGAUUGGUUCGAUGCAAUAUCAGCUUUCUUUACUUUGCCGGCUUUUGAAACUGAAGGUUGUGGUGAAUGUUCUUCAUUGAAAGAAGAUUGCCAACAGCUUCCUGGAUCUUCUUUUCUUUAAACUUGGUUGAUGCCGGUUUGAGCUAUGAACCUUAUCUAAAGAGCCCGAUGAUUACCUCACAAAUUGUUGACCUUGCAUUCAGUCAUUCAAGUGUCAAGUCAUCCUUGGACAACUGUUACGUUGCCUGUAUUAUGGCUGCAUCUUGCUUCAGUAUUUCUAAUGCAACUUCCGGAGAUUCGAUUGACACUAAUUACAAUGUAAGAGCGCAAGAUCUUGGGCUUCUCCUUUGCUCAGCAUCAGAACUUGAGCUUCUCGGUUGUUCUUACAAUGUGCAACAUCUUCACAAGAUUGGCUACGUUGUCACACAACUUCAACAGCUUUUUUCUCUUGAUUUGGAAGAAUCUCUUGUUCACUUGCAGAGUAGGGUGGAUAACGUUCAAAAGGAACAAGAGAGGAAUCAUUUGGAAGCUGAAGUAAGAACUUAUGUUGGUGAUCUUGCCCCAUCAACUCCUCAGGUGCACUCUAAGUGCAAAUGCGAAGAGUCAAGCCUUGGUGAUUGGAUCGAUGGAUGAGAUACGUGAGGAUGCUUUUCUUUCAGAUGAGAGUAGAACUUGCUAAUAUGAUUCUGAAUCAAAUGAGGAAAGCUCUCUUGGAGAGUAAUGUGAUUUUGAUAGUGCAGCUCCUGAAACACUAUCUCAAGAUCUAUUAGUAAGUGGGUCGGUGCCUUCAGUAGGAUUGGAAAGCAGUCAGGCCUCAUUUAUUCGGAAAGGUUACUUUCCUGAGUUUAUAGAAGGCUAUUGUAUAUCAGACCUACGCCUCUAUCAGAGUCAUCUGCAGGCAGAGAUGUUUCGUGGGCAAUAGUCAAACACACAAGUGGAAUUGUAGAAGAUGUUAAUGCUGGAAGGGGCGACGGUGGACGGUAUAGAGAAAAUUCUUCAGGAAUUCUUGAAAACCAUAUUGCAGACAUCUGUGAGAUGUCCAGCAUGAAACAGUCAGCAGAAAGCAAACCUUGCAGUCCUAGUUCUGAAGAUCCUAACGACUCUGGAAAGCUUGUGGGCCGAGUGAUUGUCAAGAACAUGAAUGUCAGAUGGAGAAUGUUUGCUGGUGCUGACUCGGGAUAACUCUCAAGUGACCGAUGGACUUUCUGGAAUAAUCUGCCGGAGGGAUACGCCAAUAUGCUGGAACUUGCUCUAUGUGGGAUUGGAUGCCAGUGUGACAUCUAUCCAGUUGGUGGAUUUAGUGGGCCUAAGCUUUCUUUCUCUGCACCGGAUGUCCAUCUCUCUAAUAGAAGCAAAAACGCACCACUUAGACUGGUGCUUGGAUAUUAUAACUCAAAAGAUCAUCCCAGAGUAUCAUCUUCAAAGGAAUCAAAGUUCGAUUUGGAAGCUGUGAGACCUGACCCUUUAAUUCCUCUCGAGGAGUAUCGGUAAAAAGGCUUUGAACUCAUUUGCUUUUAGUUAUCACUUAUCCCGCGACUGAUAUUUGGUAUGUUGAUAGGCAUAUUGGUAAAAGCCUUUGUACACCUCGUUUUGUGCAUGUUUGCGGUUCUGUUUUCCACUGGGUCAAUCUGCUUGGGAUUUAAUGAACGAUAGUAUCUGUAGAUAAUUUUGUACACUUCAAUCUUUAUGGAGUCCAGUGGUUGCAUCUGGAUGCUUAUAAUGAGAUUGAGUGGUGACGUACGCCCUUAACAUGUAUAAUUCAAGAUUAACUAUCAACUUCGACAACAACAAACUAGGCCUUAUCCAUUAAGUGGGGGAGGGCAAAUGCUCCACUUUGGACAAACACUUCUCUGGUUUAUUUUGGUGGGAAUUUCCUUGUUUUGGCACAUAAGCUGGAUACAGUAUAGUAUACAGAAGGUUUAGUGAUCCCUGAUGGAACAACUCGGUUGGAUUAGUUAUGCUGAUGAUGCCAUUGCAACUUGGAGUUUGUGGGCUGCAUAUGCUAGAGAUGAGAU